CCACGAAAAACAUCCCAAUUGGUGGGGUGUGAGCCGUGUAGGAAUUCGGUGCUGUAGUGGCGCCGGGUUGGGUGCGCAACAACGAACCGCCGCCCCGGUGUGGGGUGGUGGCCGCCAGGCACACUGUUGGGUCCUGAGACAACACCUGGUGUUGUCGCCUCGUCUUGGUGGUGGGGUGUGGUGUUUGAGUUGUGGAUAGUGGUUGCGAGCAUCUAGCAAAGCAGCGAGUUUUUGUUGUUUUGUCGAGUGUUUUGUGUGUGUAAGUG
rnacentral:misc_RNA from 1 species